ACUCAACAUUUUACCUUUAUGAAAGGUGAGUCUCAAUUGUAAAAGCAAGCCGUCUUGAACGGAUCCUUGAUCAGUUAGUUAGCCUUAAUCUUGUUUUAAAGGAGUUU
rnacentral:sRNA from 1 species